GGCUCAGGAUGAACGCUGGCGGUAUGCUUAACACAUGCAAGUCGAACGGAAUGCUUAGGCAUUUAGUGGCGGACGGGUGAGUAACGCGUGAGAAUUUGGCUUCAGGUCGGGGACAACAGUUGGAAACGACUGCUAAUACCGGAUAUGCCGGGAGGUGAAAGGCUUGCUGCCUGAAGAUAAGCUCGCGUCUGAUUAGCUAGUUGGUAGUGUGAGGGACUACCAAGGCGACGAUCAGUAGCUGGUCUGAGAGGAUGAUCAGCCACACUGGGACUGAGACACGGCCCAGACUCCUACGGGAGGCAGCAGUGGGGAAUUUUCCGCAAUGGGCGAAAGCCUGACGGAGCAAUACCGCGUGAGGGAGGAAGGCUCUUGGGUCGUAAACCUCUUUUCUCAAGGAAGGAAAAAAUGACGGUACUUGAGGAAUAAGCAUCGGCUAACUCCGUGCCAGCAGCCGCGGUAAUACGGAGGAUGCAAGCGUUAUCCGGAAUGAUUGGGCGUAAAGGGUCCGCAGGUGGUACUGUAAGUCUGCUGUUAAAGAGUCUGGCUCAACCAGAUAAAAGCAGUGGAAACUACAGAACUAGAGUGCGUUCGGGGCAGAAGGAAUUCCUGGUGUAGCGGUGAAAUGCGUAGAUAUCAGGAAGAACACCGGUGGCGAAAGCGUUCUGCUAGGCCGCAACUGACACUGAGGGACGAAAGCUAGGGGAGCGAAUGGGAUUAGAUACCCCAGUAGUCCUAGCCGUAAACGAUGGAUACUAGGCGUGGCUUGUAUCGACCCGAGCCGUGCCGGAGCUAACGCGUUAAGUAUCCCGCCUGGGGAGUACGCACGCAAGUGUGAA
rnacentral:rRNA from 1 species